ensembl:lncRNA
GUUAUUUUCUCCUGCAGUGUCUAAUUCAAGGACGGUGGGAAGAAGUUCUCAAGGCCAGCAAGAGAGUGAGUGUGUGUCCCAAACAGGCUAAUCAGAGCGGCAUCCUCUCAGAGGAAACUGCACACACACACACACACUCAUGGCCUCCAGAGACUCUGCUGCUCUUUUUGCCCACACUGCAUCUACUGCAAACAAAUCAGGACCAUAAUGCCGUGUGACACUCGCUCCCUGCAGUCCUGCCUGUGGCCCGGAGACAGGAACGCCGCUCCAGUGAUUGACAAGGACAAAAAGAGGUGUGAUCCCAUUUAUGUUUCUGAAUCGUCAACCACAGCGAUGGGAGACGGGAAUGACAGCUGGGACUGUAACUUUGAGCGUGAGAGGCAUUUGUGUGGCAAUGCGGCAGGAGCUGAGGGGCAUCAUGGCAACUGUUAUUUACUGGUCGUCUGCCUCAUUUCCCACAAUUCAGUCUGGCUGCGUUACACACACUGAGGGGCUGAAAUCACUCCGUGUCGAGGCUGCAGGGUAAAAAAGACGACAAACAUUUAGAUCAUUUAUUCAAACUGUGUGGCAUCGUC